rnacentral:rRNA from 1 species
CCCUGGCUCAGGACGAACGCUGGCGGCGUGCCUAAUACAUGCAAGUCGAGCGAAUCAACAGGAGCUUGCUCCUGUUGGUUAGCGGCGGACGGGUGAGUAACACGUGGGCAACCUGCCUGUAAGACUGGGAUAACACCGGGAAACCGGUGCUAAUACCGGAUAAUCCUUUUCCUCUCAUGAGGAAAAGCUGAAAGUCGGUUUCGGCUGACACUUACAGAUGGGCCCGCGGCGCAUUAGCUAGUUGGUGAGGUAACGGCUCACCAAGGCGACGAUGCGUAGCCGACCUGAGAGGGUGAUCGGCCACACUGGGACUGAGACACGGCCCAGACUCCUACGGGAGGCAGCAGUAGGGAAUCUUCCACAAUGGACGAAAGUCUGAUGGAGCAACGCCGCGUGAGCGAUGAAGGCCUUCGGGUCGUAAAGCUCUGUUGUUAGGGAAGAACAAGUACCGGAGUAACUGCCGGUACCUUGACGGUACCUAACCAGAAAGCCACGGC